ACAAGGUCUUGGCUCCCAAGAGGGUCUAUUGUACUGCUGACUCCAUAGAAAUAACAGCAACUCAUCCAGGCUGGGAAAAAUCCUAUCUCUGGGAGUUCCAAGAAAAACAUGAAUGUUAUGAGGACAAGUCAGAUGCCAAGUGCUCCUGCCAACAGGGCACAGAAAAUAAUGAAAGGUGGGGGAGGUGAAGGACAUGGUCACAACCAAGAGCUGUGCUCUAGGAGUCAGAAGGCAUCUGGGGUGAGGAAAGGCCAGGGCCAAGUCUAAAGGAAGGACCUGACACUGCUGAGAACACCAGGUAAUGCUGGAAAGUGGGUCAGCAUGCCCAUCACUGCUCUGAAGCUGGGUUGGCCUUCAGUCCAGAGAAGCAGACCAGAACAACUGUCCAGUGUCCUUCCCUAGGGAUGGAGCUGCAGUAAAUGCUGUAGGAGUGAAAGAAGGGGGGAAGCAGAGAGUAAUACCUUCCUGGCAAACUCUCCAGUCUCUAGCACUUUGUGGCCAAGGACUUCCUGACUCAGAGAUUUGCAGUAUGAACUUCACAGAAGAUAUCAUGGGCAGUAUGAGAGUAAUUUUCAGAAGAUACAAUACUGUGAAGUUGUAGAGAUCCAGACAGGAAUUUUCUGAGCCAGCUGCCUGACUGUUUACAGGAAAGAAAGGAAAUCCCCACUGAAGGAAUUGCACAAGAUGUACCAAUUACAAGGUAUAAUGUUAUGACAUAAGGAUAUGUUUUUAUUUUGAUUUCUGAUGACCAUAUGAACUGCAAAGACAAGACUUCAUUACAUUGCAUCCUGAGCAUGCAGCUGGUGUCAGAAGGCAAUAAACUAAUUUCAGCCGCUUUAUACAGACAGCUUCUGAAGAAACUCGAAAAUAUAUUCAACAUAUUUAAUGGAGUUGUAUGUACAACCUAAAGACAAAAAUACAAACAGUAGCAGUGAAAGAAAAUAACCAAGUAAUGGGCUUAUUGCUGGUUCUCAUCCAAAAAAGCCCAGCUGUGUGUGGACUCACAGUGGCAGCAGUGAUGGGCUACGGUGCAAGAGGGAACAGAGGAGCAGGAACCUGCACGGUUGCACCCACUACACCCUUACAGAAGAUGAUCUUUUUGCAUGAAGAUAUAUUGUGUAGUGCUAAUAUUUUCUGAAUUAUAAAAUUACAGAAUUGCUGCUAGGAAAAGGGGCUGCUGGAUAUUUAAGCAUAUCAAAGAGAGCUGGUAUUACAAAAGACUCGGAAAGGAUGUGAAACCUCACUUCCAAGUACUUAUGAAAUAAAGCAUGCUUAAAGAAACUUCUGCUAAAAAUGCGUAAAUGGCACAUGAUUAUGCUUUGCUUCUCUAUUUCAGUAUAAACUCUCCAAUCAAAAAAGCUGACUUCAGUUGAGAAAUUAUUUCUGUGACGCUUAGAGUUCUACCUUACAAUUUCUUAUAGUAUACCUUUGCUUAUUUAAUUUAGAUUUGGACCUUCCACUCACUGUUUUCCACCUUCUUUUAAGAAUAUGACUUCAAAAUAAGACUCCAAGUGUGUAAUAUAAAUUACUUAAAAAACGAAAAAAAGCCCCUUUAUACCACACUCUCCUACUUCAACCAUGGCAAUGUAAUAACAAUGAAAAAAAACCAAAAGAAAACAAAACCAACCCAAACAUAAAUUAGUAGAGGCUGUCAAUAUUACUCCCAAGAAGUGUCUUGAAACAAACAUCAAUCUUCUUGCAAAGGAAUAGGUUGGGACUUACUUAGAAGAUCUGGGCAUUAUUAAGUGUAACAUUCUGUUUUGUGCUUUACAGAAAUUAGGAAGAUAACUGAAUUUCCCACUGUUCUGAAUCUAGACUUCAUUUAUUCUGACUGGGGAUUAUUUCUUACAAAACAUUUGUGCAGCACCCAGUCUGAUGGGAUAAGCAUCUUAAUUAAGAUGGAUAGAAUUUAUUCCUGUGAAAACUGUGAAUACAUUCAUAAAUAUGAAUAGCACAGCAAUGGGAACAGAUUGGUGGGUGGGGAGGAACUUGAAAAUGUAUGCAAUAAGAACAACAAAGCAAUCACCCAAAAAAUCCCUCCAAACAAUACUAAUUUGCUAACUAUGCUGACAGCAAAAUACAGGUAGGGGGCCUUAGUUUCUACAAUUGGAAGUACAAAUAGGAACAUGAACAGUGCAGAAUUCAGUGCUACUGACAUUGGUCACAGCACUUCUAUGGCACAAACACAUGCAGCAUUCAUAGAUUUCUCAGAAGAAAUAAAUUUAAUUAUUUCCCCUUACUUUUAAUGCACGUUGCAUCCAACUUUUUUUAAAAGUACAGCAUUAUUUUUCUCUCCAUAACCCUCCUGUUCUCUUAUUGCAGCAAACAUCUACAAAUGUCAGUUAAAGGUUCAUUUAUUUCCUUGCUAAUUUCCUGUAAAACUUGUGACUCAGCAUGUCAUCUGAACC